ACUUAGUCACUGUGUCACAACAUCUGGAGGUGCUGCUGUGGUUUAACUCAACAGUAACUACUUAAACAACGGUUCAAGUGGUGAAACUUCCCAGCUCUCCAGGGUGAAGCACUGGAUUUGUAUGAAUGGCACAGAGUUCUGGCCGAAGGAAAAGGGGACAACCCAUCUCCUCCGAUCUAUAAUUCAGCAAAGGAAGUUUUUGGUGCGUGGUCCCCUUUCUUCCAUUAGGAAACAAAGGAAACCCAAUGGAAUGGAACUCAAGAAAAGAAGGGCUGAAAUAAUCAGCUCUGGAAACAUCCUGGUUGCCUCUUCUCUUCUACAGAUGUUUCCAGCAGUUGUCCAUUUCAGCCAACACAGAACACCUCAGUCAGCAACACUCCCUCUCCAACACUGGCAAUAAUUCUGAACUGCAUCACAGGGAGAAAAAUAUUACCUGUGUCAAUCAAAAUGGGCAUCUGCAGGAUCACCAUGGUGGCCGGGGAUCCAAUUUGUACACGGCGAGAUAAAUGCCUGGAUGGAGGAGGAAAGAAGUAAAACAAACUAAUUGGAGUUUCUGCAUUUGUCUGUGGAACUUCAGGAAACAGGCAAUAGCCAAUGGCAGUGUUGGGCUAGAUAUAGAUUGUAAUGCAUUGAUUUGCAGUAGAUUAAAAUGAUUUGUGAUUCCCAAUUAUUGAUAUCAGAAGCAAUAAAAAUAACUUCUUAUGCUCUAAA